AACGAACGCUGGCGGCAGGCUUAACACAUGCAAGUCGAACGGUUGUAGCAAUACAGCAGUGGCGCACGGGUGAGUAACACGUGGGAAUAUCCCUUUCAGUACGGAAUAACGUCGGGAAACUGACGCUAAUACCGUAUACACCUCCGGGUGAAAGAUUUAUCGCUGAAAGAUUAGCCCGCGUCAGAUUAGCUAGUUGGUGGGGUAACGGCCUACCAAGGCUCCGAUCUGUAGCUGGUCUUAGAGGACGAUCAGCCACACUGGAACUGAGACGCGGUCCAGACUCCUACGGGAGGCAGCAGUGGGGAAUAUUGGACAAUGGGGGAAACCCUGAUCCAGCCAUGCCGCGUGAGUGAUGAAGGCCUUCGGGUUGUAAAGCUCUUUUGUCAGGGAAGAUGAUGACUGUACCUGAAGAAUAAGCCCCGGCUAACUUCGUGCCAGCCGCCGCGGUAAUAC
rnacentral:rRNA from 1 species